UUAAGAGGCUCCACAUGGGACCACUAUUCACAUAUCUUCUGCUCUCCUGGCUUACUGCCUGUGUUUUCUGAAUGUACUCCAGAAAUAUAUUGUAGGUAGCGUUGUCUUUAGACCUGUAUUGACACCUGGCUUUGCCAGUGUAGUCAGCAUACCACUAGUUGUUUCUCAUGGUCCCUGUCUGCCACAGACAUACCUCUUCAUAUGGCAGCAGAGAAAGCUGUGUAAGUUUGAAGAUGGAAGAUACAAGUUGGGCCCAUACAGCUGUACUUGGCCUCCAAGGAAAAAAACUGAAACUUUGCACUUCAAUACCUAGCUGGCCUCUACACUUCCGGAAUGUCUUGCAGAACAAACUGCAGAGCUGUGGACAGGGAGUCAUGCCACCCAAUGGAAUCAGUGAUAUCCUACCACCUUUUACCUAUACCUGCCUGCCUAAUUAAGAAGCAACUAUCUUUUCAAGACUCUGUCAACACUGAAGAAAAAGAACAUCUCUAUCUGACGAGCCAAAGCUGUGGAGGGGCACUGAAGCAAGACCGCAUCACCUAUGAACUGGCAGUGAGGGAUGUAUACUGCAUACUUAGUAGCACCUGCAGGUCAUCAGAUGGAUCACCUCCAUGGCAAGUGCUGUACUAACACCUUAUCAAGGAAGACAGUCCCAUCCCCAUAGAAGAUGCAACUGAAAGUCUCUCUACCUUCUGCUCACUUUUCUACACCUACUCUAAUUAGGAUUCUCCUGUUCGUAUUCCCUGUUGUCUUUCCAAUCUUCUUCUCGAGCUCCUUACAAUGAAAAGGAAAAAGUGCCUUUGGACAGCUUUGUGCUACUUCUUGCUCCAUUUGAAGUGCCUCAAUAUGAAGCUGGCACAGUUUGUUCAGGAUUUAGCACAGCAGACCUGGAGACGGAGGGGGCAGGGGGAAAGUGUUUCUGCAGAUACGGUGUAAUUUGAGCAGUCAGUCUGACUGAGCUGGUCUGGGCUGCACGCUCUUUGUGUCAUCCUCUGAAAGUUAAAUACAAUUAAAUGAGGAAUAACGAAUGCAGGCCUGUAAUGAGAUAAAAGGUCAGGCAAAUCAAGAAACAGGAUACAGGUGAGACAAACAGUGAAAGGGCUGCAUGUAGUUUACACCUAGGCUGCAAUUUCAAUCACAUUGUGGCUGCCAUAGGUAAAAAUGUACCCUUUCUGUCUGUAGCUAACACAGGAUGCAAUUGCUGCAGAAAUGAAAGCUGUCAAUUUUUUUUUUCCUCAGAAGGGAUGGAAUUGUUAAUGAGUCUAGAUGAGUGAUUUUAGGUAUGAAGCUUCUUUUGGUCUGCCUGAGUACAACUGCACCAGAACAAUUCCUUUUGUACAAAAAAAACCCCACAAAACUGAUUUGCAGCUAUCUUUGCAACUUGUGAAGGAAGAAAAUUUUACAAAUGUACUCAGUACCUCACCAGGGAGAUUUUAGAGGAUGAGACUACACAUGGACAUUUUCAGUGGUAAAAACUUCUAAUCCGUUCUUUAAUCCCAAAGCUAGCAGCCAAAACCUCCAGUUCUCAGGAAGUGAAGGAAAGAGCUUGAGGCUCAGCUUUUGGCUUACAAAUGCUUUUUCAUGGAGAUUAUUAGGCAAAAAAUAGAAAAGCCUUUACUGGUUUGCAGUCUUUAUGCUGAAUUCUGAGUGUACUGCCUGCCAGAAACGUGGCACACUAAUGUGAGUGAAUACAUGCAAUAUAUGGCUUCACACGGUCAAUUUAUGUUGUCAAGAACAGUACAGCUUCAAUUGGCAAAAUUUGCCACUGAUACUAGCUUCUAUGUCAGAAAAGACAGGGAAAAGACAUGUUUGAGAAGACAGGCUUGGAAGUAAAAGGUGGUGUGAUUUAGGGUGCAGAAUAAUCCAGGUAGUGGAUACAGCAGAAGCACUUCAUAGGAAGCAACACGAAAGUCCUAAGCAGCCUCCUUUUGAGGCACUGUAGUAAUACAGCAGAGUACAAGAAAAACAAACAGGUAGUGGAGAAAGAGUAGAUUAAAGAGAUGCUGCUUUUCUUACAUUAGCCAACUUCAGAAUCCUUUAGGCAGAAGCUUUACAUGGUAAUGUAGCUGUAUGCAUACUCUAACUUUUGAGAAAGCACUUCUUGGUGAUUUUUAGUAUGUGUUCAAUUUUCUCCUUUUUACCCCUACAUGAAAAAAAGCUGAUAUGGAACAUUUUUGGACAUUUUAAGCAAUAAAUGACAUUUGAAGCUUUAAAAAAAAUGUGAAUUGAAACUUAAUUAUUAGAAUUUUUUUUUUGCAUGAAAGUAAUAGAUUUUGUUUAUUUUUUUCUAUUGUUCCUGGCUCAUUUUUCUAGGACUAGGAGCAAAUAUGUUCAUGGGUAACCUUUUUGUUUCCUUAAAGAUCAUAAAUAUUAUUUAAAAGUUGUGUUUCUGCUGCCAGACUCUGAGUUGUCCUCAUUCACGCUGUGCAGUUACCUGUAAAUAUGGUGGCCUAAGCGUGUUUAUUUUGUAGGGCUGAAUAUGUCAUCAAGCAUCUCUUUUAAUAAAAUGACAGUUUUGACCGUG